AGUGAACGCUGGCUGUAGGCCUAACACAUGCAAGUCGAACGGCAGCACAGUAAGAGCUUGCUUUAACGGGUGGCGAGUGGCGGACGGGUGAGUAACACAUAGGAAUCUACUCUUUCGUGGGGGAUAACGCUGGGAAACUUACGCUUAUACCGCAUACGUAUUAUGGGUGUAAGUAGUGUCUCUACUGACCUUGUGCGAUUGUAUGAGCCGAUGUCGGAUUAGCUAGUUGGCGGGGUAAAGGCGCACCAAGGCGACGAUCCGUAGCUGGUCUGAGAGGAUGAGCAGGCACACUGGAACGGAGACACGGUCCAGACUCCUACGGGAGGCAGCAGUGGGGAAUAUUGGACAAGGGGCGCAAGCCGGAUCCAGACAUACCGCGUGGGUGAAGAAGGCCUUCGGGUUGGAAAGCCAAUUUGUUGGGAAAGAAAAGCAGCAGGUUAAUACCGCGCUGGUCUGACGGUACCCAAAGAAUAAGCACCGGCUAACUUCGUG
rnacentral:rRNA from 1 species